UCAGGAAGCCAAGCUCGUCUGGAUUCCCACCAUGGCGUGGGCCCCUCUCCUCCUUAUGCUGCUCGCUUACUGCAUUGGUUGGAGUUCCCAGAGUACGCUGACUCAGACCAGCUCCAUGGCAGUGAAACUGGGGGAGACGGCCGAGCUGCACUGCACGUUGGAAGGGGUGCAGUUCAUUAAUGACAACUACCCAUCCUGGUAUCAGCAGAGAUUGGGGAAGGCCCCUAGGUUACUGAUCUAUAAGUCUAGGAGCAGAGCCUCGGGGAUCCCCGAGCGCUUCUCUGGCGACACGUACGGUAACAGGGCAUUGUUAAACAUCACUGGAGCCCAGGCCGAGGACGAGGGGGAUUAUUACUGUGCUGUGUGGUACUCUAGCUCUUAUCACAGUGACACAGUCAGAUGAGGAACUGAGACAAAAACUUCCCUGUUGA